GAAUGCAUGCCUACUUUAAAGUGUUAAUAGCUUGCAUGAGUAUUCAAAUGUUCAUACUUGUUCUUAGCUAGGACAAAAUUUUUCCUUCAAUAAUGCAAAGUAGUCAUUUGACCUGAGGCAUCACAGUUGUCUUGUGAUUAAGUCCUUGAUCUUUGAUUAUGUCAAAGUCACCUCAUCGGGGUGUCCAUGGCAUCGUUGGGGUUAAACCACUUAGCCAUGGAGGCAAGUGAAUGCGCAACAAGGGAUCUCUAACCUUCAAACUGUUUGAGGGAGAAUACUCUAUGAUAUGAUUUAGAAUCUCUAGCCAGAGUAUGAAUGAGAUUUAGAAAAGUAGUUCUAAAUCACAUUCAAGGUAAUCAUAUAAGCACACGAAUCACAUUGGAUAGUAGACAUGAAUAAAUAAACUAUCAAACCAAACAAUGUGGUCAAGAGUAUUGUAUUAGAGAAAGACCGCAUUGCAUUUGUAAUCCCAAACUGAAUAGGUUUUCUCUACCUCUUCUGAUUAGCUUGGGUAACCAUGAUAUGCUGCAAGGUGUCACUCAUGGUUUGUGGAAGCCCUAAACGUGUGUAAUCACUAAAGGGAGAAUUGAAAGUAAGUUUCAAUUCACAAUCGAUAUAAAAUAGUUUUAAUCGCCCACUGCCUCGCUAAAAGGAACCUAAUGGAUCGCACACCGUGUAAGGUGGA
rnacentral:lncRNA from 1 species